GAUUUCUGACUUGGUGCGCCUAGCCCGCCGAGGCAACUCGUGUGUGUGCUGGUGCGCGUCGUGUCAUCCUUGUAGAAACCUCGCGUGCCCUUCACUGGUGCGCGCGAGUGAUCUACAUCUUUUACUUUGAAAAAAUUAGAGUGUUCAAAGCAGGCUUACGCUGUGAAUACAUUAGCAUGGAAUAAUAAUUUAGGACUUCGGUUCCUAUUUUGUUGGUUUCUAGGACGGAAGUAAUGAUUGAUAGGGAUAGUUGGGGGUGCUAGUAUUCAGCGGCCAGAGGUGAAAUUCUUGGAUUCGCUGAAGACUAACUUAUGCGAAAGCAUU
rnacentral:rRNA from 1 species